AACGAACGCUGGCGGCAUGCCUAACACAUGCAAGUCGAACGAGAUCUUCGGGUCUAGUGGCGCACGGGUGCGUAACGCGUGGGAAUCUGCCCUUUGGUUCGGAAUAACAGUUGGAAACGACUGCUAAUACCGGAUGAUGACGAAAGUCCAAAGAUUUAUCGCCAGAGGAUGAGCCCGCGUAGGAUUAGCUAGUUGGUGUGGUAAAGGCGCACCAAGGCGACGAUCCUUAGCUGGUCUGGAAGGAUGAUCAGCCACACUGGGACGGAGACACGGCCCAGACUCCUACGGGAGGCAGCAGUGGGAAUAUUGGACAAUGGGCGAAAGCCUGAUCCAGCAAUGCCGCGUGAGUGAUGAAGGCCUUAGGGUUGUAAAGCUCUUUUACCCGGGAUGAUAAUGACAGUACCGGGAGAAUAAGCUCCGGCUAACUCCGUGCCAGCCGCCGCCGUAA
rnacentral:rRNA from 1 species